ensembl:snRNA U1 U1 spliceosomal RNA
ACACUUACCUGACAGGGGAGAUACCAUGAUCAAAAUGGUGGUUUUCCCAGGGGGAGGCUCAUCCAUUGUGCUCUAGAUAUGCUCACCUCUGAGUUUCUCCAAAUGAAGGAAACUCAACUGCAUAAUUUAUGGUAGUGGGAGAUUUGUGUUUGUGUUCUUA